GUGGGGCCUGGAUUGCCACCAACAUUAUGUAGCGGAGCCUGGGCUGGGUGGGACAGGGGAUGGCCCUGGGUUCCCUGGGACUCAGGUCUCCUCUCCACACACUCACAUUCCUCAUUGUCUUCCUGUGCCCAUGGCUGUCCAACAUGUGUACCCUCCAGAGACAUCUCACUGGAAGUGGAGGUUUCAGAGUAAAGAAGAACAGAGGUGGGGUCCAACUCAGCAGACUGUGGACACCGUGUCCAGAGAGCACAGAGGGCCCUGAGCCACCAUGUGGACAUAGAAGGCAGCAGGCCCUUGAAGAUGUGGUUUCAUCUAGACAGUACAACCAGUGGCCUCCAUUAUGCUCUGGGGGAGAUGCUCAAGGAGGGAGGAUUUGA
rnacentral:lncRNA from 1 species